rnacentral:rRNA from 1 species
GACGAACGCUGGCGGCGUGCUUAACACAUGCAAGUCGAGCGAGGCCUCUCCUUCGGGAGGGUGUCCUAGCGGCGAACGGGUGAGUAACACGUGGGCAACCUGCCCUCAGCUCUGGGAUAACUCCAAGAAAUUGGGGCUAAUACCGGAUAUGACCGCUGACCGCAUGGUCUGGUGGUGGAAAGAUUUAUCGGCUGGGGAUGGGCCCGCGGCCUAUCAGCUUGUUGGUGGGGUAGUGGCCUACCAAGGCGACGACGGGUAGCCGGCCUGAGAGGGUGACCGGCCACACUGGGACUGAGACACGGCCCAGACUCCUACGGGAGGCAGCAGUGGGGAAUAUUGCGCAAUGGGCGGAAGCCUGACGCAGCGACGCCGCGUGGGGGAUGACGGCCUUCGGGUUGUAAACCUCUUUCAGCAGGGACGAAGCGCAAGUGACGGUACCUGCAGAAGAAGCACCGGCCAACUACG